rnacentral:rRNA from 1 species
UGGGGAAUAUUGCACAAUGGGCGCAAGCCUGAUGCAGCCAUGCCGCGUGUGUGAAGAAGGCCUUCGGGUUGUAAGCACUUUCAGCGAGGAGGAAGGUGGUGAGCUUAAUACGCUCAUCAAUUGACGUUACUCGCAGAAGAAGCACCGGCUAACUCCGUGCCAGCAGCCGCGGUAAUACGGGAGGGUGCAAGCGUUAAUCGGAAUUACUGGGCGUAAAGCGCACGCAGGCGGUUUGUUAAGUCAGAUGUGAAAUCCCCGGGCUCAACCUGGGAACUGCAUUUGAAACUGGCAAGCUAGAGUCUCGUAGAGGGGGGUAGAAUUCCAGGUGUAGCGGUGAAAUGCGUAGAGAUCUGGAGGAAUACCGGUGGCGAAGGCGGCCCCCUGGACGAAGACUGACGCUCAGGUGCGAAAGCGUGGGGAGCAAACAGGAUUAGAUACCCUGGUAGUCCACGCUGUAAAACGAUGUCGAUUUGGAGGUUGUGCCCUUGAGGCGUGGCUUCCGGAGCUAACGCGUUAAAUCGACCGCCUGGGGAGUACGGCCGCAAGGUUAAAACUCAAAUGAAUUGAC